rnacentral:tRNA from 1 species
GGUUGUAGCUCAGUGGUAGAGUGCUUGCCUAGCAUGUGUGAGGCACUGGGUUCGAUUCUCAGCACCA